rnacentral:rRNA from 1 species
AACGAACGCUGGCGGCAUGCCUAACACAUGCAAGUCGAACGAGACCUUCGGGUCUAGUGGCGCACGGGUGCGUAACGCGGGGGAACCUGCCCUUAGGCUCGGAAUAACUCCCCGAAAGGGGUGCUAAUACCGGAUAAUGUCUUCGGACCAAAGAUUUAUCGCCUUUGGAUGGGCCCGCGUUGGAUUAGCUGGUUGGUAGGGUAAAAGCCUACCAAGGCGACGAUCCAUAGCUGGUCUGAGAGGAAGAUCAGCCACACUGGGACUGAGACACGGCCCAGACUCCUACGGGAGGCAGCAGUGGGGGAUAUUGGACAAUCGGCGGAAGCCUGAACCAGCAAUGCCGCGUGAGUGAUGUAGGCCUUAGGGUUGUAAAGCUCUUUUACCCGGGAUGAUAAUGACAGUACCGGGAGAAUAAGCUCCGGCUAACUCCGUG